AAAGGAUUCGCGCCCUUUCGUCCCAUGCCCUUGGAGCUGCUGAGGCCACCAUGGAGGCUGCAGCGGCGCCGGGACCCCGCCGGGACCGCGGAAACCUCUCCCCGCAGAAAGAUGUCGUGAAGUAAAGAAGCUGGGCCUGUGACACAGCAGGAGCAGCUGGGGAGAGGUGGCUCUGAUGUGAAGGUAGAGCCUGCAGGGCUGUGCUGGUGAUGUCCCCCCAUUGAUGGGACAGCUCUUCCCAAGUCCUGUGGAGGGCACUGGGACAGAGCAGGAGAAUCUGCUGGGUGGUGCUGCUGCAAACAUCUCUGAGGCAGAAGGACUCCAACACAGCACCUGGCCUUGAGGAGUUUGUGCAGACAGAACAUUUUUCUGCCUGUUACAAAGUGGUAACAGUUAAAAUGUUUUAUUACGUGUGCAUUAAAAUAAUUUAAAAAAUAAAAUAACA